rnacentral:pre_miRNA from 1 species
CAACUACUCCCUCUGUCCCAAAUUUCUUGUCUUAGAUUUGACUAGAUACGGAUGUAUCUAAUACUAAAAUGUGACUUGAUACAUCCGUAUCUAGACAAAUCUAAGACAAGAAUUUUGGGACGGAGGGAGUACUUU